rnacentral:piRNA from 1 species
UCUGAUCAGUGAUGACCUUGGUAUGGU